AGAUCACUCCUCUGUGGAGAUUGGAUAGCCAGCCUCAGCAUUUUCCAGCCAGACUGAAGCCAUCUAUAUUGUUGUUUCAUCAUGCACAGGGAAGAUGGGAUAAGAGGAGAUCUGCAGAUUCCUUGAGGUUUUUUUGGCUAUGAUAAUCUCUAGAUUGAGGGUAGGACAUCUCUUCUUGAUGAGCAGACAGAUCUGAAUAUGUGCUGCUGUGUCUGCAUCCAACAGAGGUCUCACACCAUAAGAACAUUACUCCAAGGAAAGCCUGGAGUGAGGAAAGGACUCCUGGAGCCAUUUCUCCUGUCAGUGCCCCAGGUCAGGUUGCCCACCUGGUCAAGGACAGCCCAGCAUCACUCUGCAACAUUGGCCCCCCAGCAUGCCAAGCUUCUCUUAUCUCUUAAAGCAGAGCCCUUUUGGGGCACGCAGACCUCAGCCCCAUGCAUGCACACCCUGACUGUGAUUCGGAAAACAAGUGGAAGCAGCAGGAGGUGCUGGUCUCUCUGGCCGAGACGCCCGGCAACACGGGGCGGGUGUUCCCCAGACAGCCCCCUGCUAACAAGGGAUCCUGUCUCGGAGGCUGUGAGUCACCGCUGAAACCCUGGCAACAAUUCUUUCCAUGGGAGCAGCAGCGCUGCACUGCGAGCGGUGCUGGCACCUGCUUCGGGGAACGGCACAUCUCGACACGAGUCUUCUGAAGAUGAACUGCUCGGGCGGCUGCGGGUCGGAACGCGAUGCUCCUCUCAGCGCCCAGAAGGGACGACGGCACCAGGGGCCGAAGCCGGACCCGAGGGGCGAGCGGGGCUGGGGAGCCCCGGGGCGGCGGUGGAGCCAGCGGAGACGGGGCCGCUCGUGGGCUCCGUGCGCGGUGCUGCGGAGAAGAGUGCCACGCUGUGUCCGUGCCGGGCCUUACAGCGGGCAGGCAGCGCUGCGAGCCCUGAGGCUGAAUUCCUGUUGCCUUUUUCUCCCCAGCGCUCACGGCUCCACGAGGACACCCACCAGCUCUGCUCCCUGCUCGAGGCUCCCCACGCUGUUUGCUUUCACCCGUCUGAGCUGUGCCAUCCCAAUGGACGGAGGCUGCCUGCUGCUUCCUCGGGUGGUCCCUACCCAAAUAUAAAGAAACACCUUUACAUUUUAAAACAGGGCUCACCUGGUCACCCUCAGCAGCACCUGUCAUUUGGCAGCCGAUGGGGCUGCUCUGGCCUCAAACACAUUCCGUGAAGUUCAUUGAAAAUCUGUCUGAUAAAGGAGAAGCAAUUAGGAGAUGGCUUGGGGCUUAGGCUGACUUCAAAGGCUCCCUGCGAAGCACGCAGCAACACCCAGAGCUUCUAAAGAACCUGGACCUGCAACAUGCCAACAGCCCUCACUGGGGUGAGGGUCCACCUGCAAGUGAGACCCGGAGUGCUCUGCUUUGCAGAUGGGCCAAAACGCAGCUCCUGGCAGCCUCAGCGAGGUGUCAAUGUAAUGCAGAGGCCAUGGGAGGUCCGAAGGAUGGCAGAAGAGGACUGUGCUGUUUGCAGAGUACCACUGAUGGGAGCACUCAGCUUUGCCUGGUGAUGCUGGCAGCCCCACAUCCGUGUUUUCACAGGCAAAAACCCAACACUGACCUCUUUCUUGAAACAUAAGGCAAAUGCCUGCAGUCUGGUUUACAUCUGCCACGGGAUCCUGUUACAUUCAGAACAACCCCUGU